AACAGAGAUGGCGACAAAGAGGCAAAACUUACAGACUGUAGCUUUAAAUGGUAAACAUUUCACAAUAUUACUGAUUUUGACUCUAAUUUUUAAUUAAUAAGUUUAUUUAACAGGGAUAAUGCAGAAUAACAUGCUACAAUUUCAAACAGCGACGCUCCACAUACAGGCUUUGAGCCAAAGGCUAAUUUGCAGCCCCAUGGUUAGCAACAUGUCAUGACAUUUUCCUUCUCUGCCUUCUCCUUUUUAUCAUGAUAAAAUCUACAUAUAGUUCCCAACAAAAGUAGUGUUUAGUGUAAACACUGCACAAGAUGCUUUUCUUACUUAGUAUUUUUGUCUUGUUUCCAGUCCAAAUAUCUAAAAUAAAUUAAAAAAAAAAAAAAAAAAAAAAAAAAAAAAAAAAAAAAAACUUAAAUCCAUAUGCUUUUACUAGAUAAGUGUCAGGACACAGAUGGAGGCAGAGGGGUGAAUGAACACAGAUGUUUAUUUAAACAGAGGCAGGAACACAGGUAAUGGAGAAUGCAGGUGAGUAGAUGAAGGGAGCAUUGGAGAAGAAACCCGCUGCAAUCCUCUGCUGCGCCGGUGAAUGUCGCUGGUUGGGCCAUGGGACUGACAGAGGCAGCUGAAGAAGAAGCGGCGGGUGCUGGGUGUAGGAGUGCGAGGCGAACAGGGUGCAGGAGAUCAGCGGGGACCGUAGGUGCAGUGCUUGUGGCAGGCUGUGAGAGUGAGGAUCGCACUGCGUCGACCAGGGUGGCGAACGGGUCCGCAGUGCAAUCCCCGCCUGUGUCCGAGAUGCUGUGCAUGAGGUCUGGUCUUCUGUCAGGACACAGACGGAGGCAGAGGGGUGAGUGAACACAGAUGUUUAUUUAAACAGAGGCACGAACACAGGUAAUGGAGAAUGCAGGAGAGUAGAUGAACAAGCACUUUCAAACAGUCACUUAGCUGAAUAUAAUUAGAGUUCUGUCUUGCAGGUUGGGAGGACAACGUGGAGCUGACGACUGGAGAUGGAAGACGAGAGGAGGGAGGCACAAGAAGACGCUGGUAAGUAGCUGGUGAGUAGUCCAUGAGUCUGACGAGACCAGACACUGAGUGCAGGGAGUGAGAGUCUUUUAAAGUGUCACUGGUGAUGAGGUGCAGGUGAUCAGAACUCAGGGGAUUGUGAACGAGUGGGUGGAGCGUGAAGAUCUGGUGACGAUGUGUUGUAAUUGGAGGGUGCAGGCUGUGACUCCGUGAUAGUACCCCCCCUCCAUGGGCGGCGACGACGGGGUCUACCUCGACCCCGGGGAGCAGGGCGGUCCGGGUGUUCGGCGUGGAAUUGAGUAAGGAGUGAGGGGUCGAGGAUGUCAUGACGGCUGACCCAGGAACGUUCCUCUGGGCCAUAGUCCUCCCAGUCAACGGAAUUGGUAACGGAACCAGCUUACCCUCGGGAAGCCUCCUAGGAGUAGUGUUGCCGCAGGAGCAAGAGGGUACGUGAACUGCCUGGGUGUCCAGAGCCUGGAGAGGUGUGAGCCAAGUCCACGAGGGGCUGACGGUGGACCGGUGGAAUGUAAAGAAGCCCCUCAGGAUGUCCCGGCGGAGCUGGGUUGGAGCGGUUAGCUUGGGAAAUGCGUUGAUUGAUGGACCACAGGAUUGGGCUGACGAUCAUGGCUGAAGGGAGGAUAGGCUUAGGGUCAGGAUUGUCUGGAUCAGGUUGAUAUAGCCGAGAUAAGGCAUCGGCUUUGCAGUUCUUAGUUCUAGGGUGGUAGGAGACCGUGAAGUUGAAUCUAGUGAAGAAGAGGGCCCAGCGGGCUUGGUGAGGAUUCAACUGUUUGGUGUCACGCAGAUAUUCCAGGUUACGAUGAUCGGUGAUCACCUCAAACUGAUGUUGUUUCGCUCCCUCCAGCCAGUGUCUCCACUUUUCCAAGGCUAACUUGAUGGCAAGGAGCUCUCAGUUCCUGAUGUCAUAAUUUUGCUCCGCCGGGGAUAGCUUCUUGGAGAAGAAGGCACAUGGAUGGAGUCGUGGUGGGUCACCCUGCCACUGUGAUAGCACCGCCCCGACCCCGGUGAAGGAUGCGUCGACCUCGACGACGAAUGGAAGAUCAGGGUUCGGAUGGUGAACAGCUGAGACUGGGCUUCCAGGUAGAGGGAGCAUUGGAGAAGAAACCCGCUGCAAUCCUCUGCCGCGCCGGUGAAUGUCGCUGGUUGGGCCAUGGGACUGACAGAGGCAGCUGAAGAAGAAGCGGCGGGUGCUGGGUGUAGGAGUGCGAGGCAAACGGCGUGCAGGAGAUCAGCGGGGACCGUAGGUGCAGUGCUUGUGGCAGGCUGUGAGAGUGAGGAUCGCACUGCGUCGACCAGUGUGGAGAACGGGUCCGCAGUGCAAUCCCCGCCUGUGUCCGAGAUGCUGUGCAUGAGGUCUGGUCUUCUGUCAGGACACAGACGGAGGCAGAGGAGUGAGUGAACACAGAUGUUUAUUUAAACAGAGGCACGAACACAGGUAAUGGAGAAUGCAGGAGAGUAGAUGAACAAGCACUUUCAAACAGUCACUUAGCUGAAUAUAAUUAGAGUUCUGUCUUGCAGGUUGGGAGGACAACGUUGAGCUGACGACUGGAGAUGGAAGACGAGAGGAGGGAGGCACAAGAAGACGCUGGUAAGUAGCGGGUGAGUAGUCCAUGAGUCUGACGAGACCAGACACUGAGUGCAGGGAGUGAGAGUCUUUUAAAGUGUCACUGGUGAUGAGGUGCAGGUGAUCAGAAUUCAGGGGAUUGUGAACGAGUGGGUGGAGCGUGAAGAUCUGGUGACGAUGUGUUGUAAUUGGAGGGUGCAGGCUGUGACUCCGUGACAAUAAGUAAAAUGACAUGACAUUUUUCUUGUUUUCUAGGAAAAACAAGUUAAGUUUUUGCUUAAAACAAGCAAAAUUAUCUGCCGAUGGGGUAAGAAAAAUAAUCUUCUUUCUGUUUGAAAUCUUGUUUCUGUCCCAAAGAGAAACAAGAUUAUUUUCCUUACCCCACUGGCAGAUAAUUUAACUUGUUUUAAGAAAAAGCUCACUUAAUUUUGAAUAUUAGCAAAAAGGUUGUCGAUUCAUUAAUUGAUAAGCUAUUUCCUCACAAAAGCUGUUAUAUCUAUGAUAUCCAUUAAAAAACGGCCUCUUGUCUCCUUCCCUGCAUGCUGACAAAACUGGAGUGUUAGCAUUAGCCGCUACGCUUUUUUUGGCUAAAGAUUGCAGGCUUGCCUUCCAGUGGCUUUGGUUAAAACCCCAGACCCUCUUCAUCUCCCCAAUAAUAAGUCAAUGACUGUUUCCCAGUAUUCUUGUCUGUUCUUGUGAAACGUCAUCAGUAGCUGCUCAAGAACUGUUCACAUCUAGCCAAGUACAGUUCAAAUCCCCGGAUGGAGUUUUGCUCCGCCCCUCUUAUAGAGGAUGCAUCGAGAGGUGACUUGUGCGGACAGCCAGGUAUCCCAGAAUGCAUCUCGCACCUACCAGCAGGAAGCGAAAAUCUGAUUAAUUUUAAAAAUAAUACUGUUAUUGUCAUGAAAUGUAGUUUUUAAAGGUUUCAGGUGAAAAUGUAUUGUUUAAAGCUCAAAUCUGUGGUUUAUUUAUAAAGAUAUCGCCUAUCUGAAAACUUGAUCUGACGUUUUCUGAGUUGUGAUGCUAGACAGGUAAUGAACAUAAUCUAGCUAACAUUUAUCAUUUAUUUACGGCUGAAAUGUUGCACGGAUAUGUACCAAGCAAAGUAUUUAAAUAACAAGUAAUGUCCGAAAGAUAUCAGCUCUGCUGUUGUUCAUAAAUACAAUGAGGACGUUGUCACGUCACCAGAAAUAGAGUCAUCAGUGUCAGUGAGUCAGGGUCCUUUACUGUCCUUACCAGUGCCUGAAUUUAUGAACACGAUAUACUGAUUCACGAGCUCGGGAGCUGAUUGAGACGAACCCUUUUUCUUGACUCACUGAACCUGGGUCAAAUGAGUGGGAUUGCGUGAACUUAAAAAAUGGGAUAGACCUGGGAUAAAUUUCACAUGUCAUAGCAAAGGGUCUGACUCUGAUAUUUAUAUUUGUGUCAAUGUGAUAUUUCAAUUUCUUUCUUUCUUUUUUUUUUUUUUUUUAAAUUGCAAUGUUAUCACAAAUCUGGGUUUAUCUUUGUCACUUGUUAUGAGGUUUGGAGUCCAGAUCAAUUUAAA